GUUUGAUCCUGGCUCAGGAUGAACGCUGGCGGCGUGCCUAAUACAUGCAAGUCGAACGAAUCUUCUUCGGAAGAUGAGUGGCGAACGGGUGAGUAAUACAUAGGUAACCUGCCCCUGUGCGGGGGAUAACAGGAGGAAACUCCUGCUAAUACCGCAUAGCCAUGAGCACCGCAUGGAGCUCAUGCCAAAUAUCCUUCACGGGAUAGCGCAGGGAUGGACCUAUGGCGCAUUAGCUAGUUGGCGGGGCAACGGCCCACCAAGGCAACGAUGCGUAGCCGGCCUGAGAGGGCGGACGGCCACAUUGGGACUGAGACACGGCCCAGACUCCUACGGGAGGCAGCAGUAGGGAAUUUUCGGCAAUGGGGGAAACCCUGACCGAGCAACGCCGCGUGAGCGAAGAAGGCCUUCGGGUCGUAAAGCUCUGUUGUAAAGGAAGAACGUCGGACACAGGAAAUGGUGUGCGAGUGACGGUACUUUACCAGAAAGCCACGGCUAACUACGUGCCAGCAGCCGCGGUAAUACGUAGGUGGCGAGCGUUAUCCGGAAUCAUUGGGCGUAAAGAGGGAGCAGGCGGCCGCAAGGGUCUGUGGUGAAAGACCGAAGCUAAACUUCGGUAAGCCAUGGAAACCGGGCGGCUAGAGUGCGGAAGAGGAUCGUGGAAUUCCAUGUGUAGCGGUGAAAUGCGUAGAUAUAUGGAGGAACACCAGUGGCGAAGGCGACGGUCUGGGCCGCAACUGACGCUCAUUCCCGAAAGCGUGGGGAGCAAAUAGGAUUAGAUACCCUAGUAGUCCACGCCGUAAACGAUGGUCACUAAGUGUCGGGGGUCAAACCCCGGUGCUGCAGUCAACGCAAUAAGUGACCCGCCU
rnacentral:rRNA from 1 species